rnacentral:rRNA from 1 species
UGUGGCGCUGCUUACCAUGCAAGUCGAACGGAGAUUCAGCAAUGGAUCUUAGUGGCGAACGGGUGAGUAACGCGUAGGCAAUCUGCCUUCUAGAUGGGGACAACAUCCCGAAAGGGGUGCUAAUACCGAAUGUUGUAGUUGGUUCGCAUGGACUAGCUACUAAAGGUGGCCUCUGAAUAUGCUACCGCUAGAAGAUGAGCCUGCGUCUGAUUAGCUAGUUGGAGGGGUAACGGCCCACCAAGGCUUCGAUCAGUAGCCGGUCUGAGAGGAUGAACGGCCACACUGGGACUGAGACACGGCCCAGACUCCUACGGGAGGCAGCAGUGGGGAAUCUUCCGCAAUGGACGAAAGUCUGACGGAGCAACGCCGCGUGAGUGAAGAAGGUUUUCGGAUCGUAAAGCUCUUUCGUUAGGGACGAACGUGCUCUUUGUGAAUAAUGAGGAGUAAUGACGGUACCUAAAUAAGAAGCCACGGCUAACUACGUGCCAGCAGCCGCGGUAAUACGUAGGUGGCAAGCGUUGUCCGGAAUUAUUGGGCGUAAAGCGCGCGCAGGCGGGAUAUCAAGUCUGUCUUAAAAGUGCGAGGCUCAACCUCGUGAGGGGACGGAAACUGGUAUUCUUGAGUGUCGGAGAGGAAAGUGGAAUUCCAAGUGUAGCGGUGAAAUGCGUAGAGAUUUGGAAGACACCAGUGGCGAAGGCGACUUUCUGGACGAUGUCUGACGCUGAGGCGCGAAAGCUAGGGGAGCGAACGGGAUUAGAUACCCCGGUAGUCCUAGCCGUAAACGAUGGGUACUAGGUGUAGGGGGUAUCGACCCCUCCUG